CCCCUCUCAGAAUGGCACUUGGAGAGUUCCCGGUACUCUACCAGUCUUGGCUAUGGGAGGGAAAGUCAAGCAGAGGCCUACCCAUUCCAUUCCUAGCUUGGGCAGUGGCUAGCGAGUGGUAAGCAAUCUGCUACAAAU